rnacentral:rRNA from 1 species
UACGGAGGGUGCAAGCGUUAUCCGGAUUCACUGGGCUUAAAGGGUGCGCAGGCGGGCUGGUAAGUCAGAGGUGAAAUCUCCGGGCUUAACCCGGAAACUGCCUUUGAUACUAUCUGUCUUGAAUAUGGUGGAGGUAAGCGGAAUAUGUCAUGUAGCGGUGAAAUGCUUAGAGAUGACAUAGAACACCCAUUGCGAAGGCAGCUUACUACGCCUAUAUUGACGCUGAGGCACGAAAGCGUGGGGAUCAAACAGG